ACUAUGCGUAAAAUUGCUCACCCUGCACCAGGUCAAAUCCUGCGCACGCCGAGACCCGAGGCCCGUGCCGACCCUCCGCAUUUCAAAUUCCCUCGGCUUUCCCUUCUCCCUUCGACCGAUCCUCCGGCCAGGCCAGCCUUCAAACACCUCGCCGACGCCGCCGUGCCCGUCCCGGCGCGGACGGGCGCUAGAGGCAGGUACCCCGUCCUCCCCGCAUGGACAGCGACGACGAGGAGAUGUGCGACGCCGCCUCCUCCGCCCCGUCCUCGCCCGCCGCCGGCGGCGGGGUGGGAGAGGGGGAGGAGGAGGAGGGCGGCGUAGAUGACGGCAGGCGCGGGAGCGAGGGGGUGGUGAUCAUGGAGGUCACGUGGUUCCAGGUGGACCUGGACUAUGAGUUCGACGCGCCCAGGUGGUUCGACCUUGCCCAAGAGGAGGCGCCGCUGGAUGCCGCUGCGGCGCAAGAGUGGUUCACCUCCGCCCCCAGCUACCCGCCCUCUCCCUUAAUUGCUAAGAUGUUAGCUGAGGAUCUUGGGUUACAAACCAUUAGAAGCAUUGCAGAUACAGAUGAUCUGCAUUGUUCUACAGCUUCUCACGAAUGUUCUAGUGGCAUGGGACCAAAAAUCCGUCAGCUUGAAGUUAAAAUAGGACGAAAAGCUUGCAAUGGUGCAUCAGAAAAUGAACGCCGUUCUCACUAUCAAACUACCAUGAAGGGCAAUUCUUUGAGAGGUUCCACACUGAUGAAGCCUACUGCCAGCCAAUUAGCCAAGCAAAACAGACCGGCACAGUUAAAGAAUUUGACACAGAAUAAAAAGUCAGUGGGAGUUAUAAGAGAGAGAAGUACCAUAAGCUCAAACGAUUGCAAUUACCAAUCCACUAAAAGACAAAGAUUAGAGAAUGGGCAUCUCAACAAGGCUGCUGCUACUGCUAUCCAGCAUGAGUUUAUUCAUAAAAAUCAUGAAAAGAAUGUUAUGAAUCAAAACAUGGAUCAGCCCACUGUUCUGCCCAGAUUGAAGAUUACAAUUCCUAGAUCACCUGAUUUGGCAACAAAGCUAAGAGCAGAGAGGUCAAAAGCUCAAAGAGCAGUGCCAACUCUUCCAAAGCAGUUAAAUGACUUAAUUCAACGGGUUGCACCCUCUGCUCCUACAGUUCAAGUCGCACCAACUAGAAAGCAGGUAGUUCAACCUUUUUGGGCUACUGGUCAUCAACAUGCAAGCAGACAACACGAGGAUGUUGGGUCAAAUGUGGCAGCAUGUACAUCCAAUCAUGCAAGGCAUCUUAAGAGCAGCGUAGAUAACAAAACCGAAGAUACCAGGCAUGGUCUGUUUAAAUUUAAAGCCCGUCCGUUGGAUAGAAAGAUGUUAGAGAACAAAGGUGAUGGUGUAUUUCGAUGUGCAAAAAGGAAUACAACUGUGCCUAAGGAAUUUAACCUAUCAACAGGCAGGAAAGCCAAUCCAGCUCCGUUGUCUGAACUAUUUAACAAGCUUUCUUUAACUGCGGGUGCACAUCAAAAUCGUGGAGUAGGGCGUCAGAUCAGGGAUCUGCCAAAUUAUAUCACUACCAAGGACUGCAAAGAGAACAUGAUUGGUAACAUGCAUCGCUAGUCUGACACACUUCCAUUUUUUUCACUUUCCAGACUCAUGUCAAUGAAGAAGUAGAAUAUACAGGAUUUCUCUUUUGAUAGUUAGUGCCUGGUUUAGGCUCAACGUCACCCCACCCGCACAGAGACCAAGCGUUUGUUUUGGUGUUUUGGACAGUUGACUCAGAAGGAAGCUCGCAUCCUCCUAACCUGCUCAUACAUUAUUUGAGAUUAAGAGCACCAUCGCUGAGGUCGAGUGUGGAGGCACUGAUUCUCGUCUCGGUCAUAGAGUUGCUUCUGCUGAGCAUGUUACAGUUAUCUCAGCUGCCCGGAGCCAAUGAGUCAUGGCUGUGAUGGGGUGGUUUUUGUACAGCAAGAGAUAAACCAUAGUGUAGGGGCGGCUCACUCGGUGGAUCUGCAGCCCUGCGGGCUCCCGCAGAGACUCCAAAGUGUAACGUAUUGCAAUCGUCUUGGCAAGGUCGUGCUCUUCUUUUCGUCU